rnacentral:rRNA from 1 species
GGUUAAGUGACUAAGCGUACACGGUGGAUGCCUAGGCAGUCAGAGGCGAUGAAGGGCGUGCUAAUCUGCGAAAAGCGUCGGUAAGGUGAUAUGAACCGUUACAACCGGCGAUACCCGAAUGGGGAAACCCAGUGUGUUUCGACACACUAUCAUGUCAUGAAUACAUAGUGGCAUGAGGCGAACCGGGGGAACUGAAACAUCUAAGUACCCCGAGGAAAAGAAAUCAACCGAGAUUCCCCCAGUAGCGGCGAGCGAACGGGGAGGAGCCCAGAACCUGAAUCGGCUUGUGUGUUAGUGGAAGCGUCUGGAAAGUCGCGCAGCAAAGGGUGAUAGCCCCGUACACUAAAAUGCACAGGUCGUGAGUUCGAUGAGUAGGGCGGGACACGUGACAUCCUGUCUGAAUAUGGGGGGACCAUCCUCCAAGGCUAAAUACUCCUGACUGACCGAUAGUGAACCAGUACCGUGAGGGAAAGGCGAAAAGAACCCCGGCGAGGGGAGUGAAAUAGAACCUGAAACCGUGUACGUACAAGCAGUGGGAGCACCUUCGUGGUGUGACUGCGUACCUUUUGUAUAAUGGGUCAGCGACUUAUAUUUUGUAGCAAGGUUAACCGUAUAGGGGAGCCGUAGGGAAACCGAGUCUUAACUGGGCGAAUAGUUGCAAGGUAUAGACCCGAAACCCGGUGAUCUAGCCAUGGGCAGGUUGAAGGUUGGGUAACACUAACUGGAGGACCGAACCGACUAAUGUUGAAAAAUUAGCGGAUGACUUGUGGCUGGGGGUGAAAGGCCAAUCAAACCGGGAGAUAGCUGGUUCUCCCCGAAAGCUAUUUAGGUAGCGCCUCGUGAACUCAUCUUCGGGGGUAGAGCACUGUUUCGGCUAGGGGGCCAUCCCGGCUUACCAAACCGAUGCAAACUCCGAAUACCGAAGAAUGUUAUCACGGGAGACACACGGCGGGUGCUAACGUCCGUCGUGAAGAGGGAAACAACCCAGACCGCCAGCUAAGGUCCCAAAGUCAUGGUUAAGUGGGAAACGAUGUGGGAAGGCAUAGACAGCCAGGAUGUUGGCUUAGAAGCAGCCAUCAUUUAAAGAAAGCGUAAUAGCUCACUGGUCGAGUCGGCCUGCGCGGAAGAUGUAACGGGGCUAAACCAUGCACCGAAGCUGCGGCAGCGACGCUUAGGCGUUGUUGGGUAGGGGAGCGUUCUGUAAGCCGUUGAAGGUGGCCUGUGAGGGUUGCUGGAGGUAUCAGAAGUGCGAAUGCUGACAUAAGUAACGAUAAAGCGGGUGAAAAGCCCGCUCGCCGGAAGACCAAGGGUUCCUGUCCAACGUUAAUCGGGGCAGGGUGAGUCGACCCCUAAGGCGAGGCUGAAAAGCGUAGUCGAUGGGAAACAGGUUAAUAUUCCUGUACUUGGUGUUACUGCGAAGGGGGGACGGAGAAGGCUAGGCUAGCCGGGCGACGGUUGUCCCGGUUUAAGCGUGUAGGGGGUGUGACCUGGUAAAUCCGGUUACAUACUAACCCUGAGGCGUGAUGACGAUGCACUACGGUGCAGAAGUAGUUGAUGCCCUGCUUCCAGGAAAAGCCUCUAAGCUCCAGGUAACAUUGAAUCGUACCCCAAACCGACACAGGUGGUCAGGUAGAGAAUACCAAGGCGCUUGAGAGAACUCGGGUGAAGGAACUAGGCAAAAUGGUGCCGUAACUUCGGGAGAAGGCACGCUGGCAUGUAGGUGAAGUCCCUUGCGGAUGGAGCUGAAGCCAGUCGAAGAUACCAGCUGGCUGCAACUGUUUAAUAAAAACACAGCACUGUGCAAACACGAAAGUGGACGUAUACGGUGUGACGCCUGCCCGGUGCUGGAAGGUUAAUUGAUGGGGUCAGCCGCAAGGCGAAGCUCUUGAUCGAAGCCCCAGUAAACGGCGGCCGUAACUAUAACGGUCCUAAGGUAGCGAAAUUCCUUGUCGGGUAAGUUCCGACCUGCACGAAUGGCGUAAUGAUGGCCAGGCUGUCUCCACCCGAGACUCAGUGAAAUUGAACUCGCUGUGAAGAUGCAGUGUACCCGCGGCAAGACGGAAAGACCCCGUGAACCUUUACUAUAGCUUGACACUGAACAUUGAGCCUUGAUGUGUAGGAUAGGUGGGAGGCUUUGAAGCGUGGACGCCAGUCUGCGUGGAGCCAUCCUUGAAAUACCACCCUUUAAUGUUUGAUGUUCUAACUCGGCCCCGUGAUCCGGGGUGAGGACAGUGUCUGGUGGGUAGUUUGACUGGGGCGGUCUCCUCCCAAAGAGUAACGGAGGAGCACGAAGGUUAGCUAAUCACGGUCGGACAUCGUGAGGUUAGUGCAAAGGCAUAAGCUAGCUUGACUGCGAGAGUGACGGCUCGAGCAGGUACGAAAGUAGGUCUUAGUGAUCCGGUGGUUCUGAAUGGAAGGGCCAUCGCUCAACGGAUAAAAGGUACUCCGGGGAUAACAGGCUGAUACCGCCCAAGAGUUCAUAUCGACGGCGGUGUUUGGCACCUCGAUGUCGGCUCAUCACAUCCUGGGGCUGAAGUAGGUCCCAAGGGUAUGGCUGUUCGCCAUUUAAAGUGGUACGCGAGCUGGGUUUAGAACGUCGUGAGACAGUUCGGUCCCUAUCUGCCGUGGGCGUUGGAAGAUUGAGAGGGGUUGCUCCUAGUACGAGAGGACCGGAGUGAACGCACCACUGGUGUUCGGGUUGUCAUGCCAAUGGCAUUGCCCGGUAGCUAAGUGCGGAAAAGAUAAGCGCUGAAAGCAUCUAAGCGCGAAACUUGCCUCAAGAUGAGUCUUCCCUGGGCCUUCAAGGCCCCUGAAGGAACGUUUAAGACUAAGACGUUGAUAGGCUGGGUGUGUAAGUGCAGCGAUGCAUUGAGCUAACCAGUACUAAUGAUCCGUGAGGCUUAACCUU